rfam:Picea glauca, whole genome shotgun sequence.
AUAAUGGUGUCUUUAGACACCACCUCUAUUCUUCUAAAUCAUUUUC